AUUGAACGCUGGCGGCAUGCCUUACACAUGCAAGUCGAGCGGGCAGCGCGGGGAGGGGCAACUCUUCCUGGCGGCGAGCGGCGAACGGGUGAGUAAUACAUCGGAACGUGCCCAGUAGCGGGGGAUAACCAGUCGAAAGAUUGGCUAAUACCGCAUACGAUCCACGGAUGAAAGCGGGGACCGCAAGGCCUCGCACUAUUGGAGCGGCCGAUGUCGGAUUAGCUAGUUGGCGGGGUAAGAGCCCACCAAGGCGACGAUCCCGUAGCUGGUCUGAGAGGAUGAUCAGCCACACUGGAACUGAGACACGGUCCAGACUCCUACGGGAGGCAG
rnacentral:rRNA from 1 species